GACGAACGCUGGCGGCGUGCUUAACACAUGCAAGUCGAACGGAAAGGCCCUGCUUUUGUGGGGUGCUCGAGUGGCGAACGGGUGAGUAACACGUGAGUAACCUGCCCUUGACUUUGGGAUAACUUCAGGAAACUGGGGCUAAUACCGGAUAGGAGCUCCUGCUGCAUGGUGGGGGUUGGAAAGUUUCGGCGGUUGGGGAUGGACUCGCGGCUUAUCAGCUUGUUGGUGGGGUAGUGGCUUACCAAGGCUUUGACGGGUAGCCGGCCUGAGAGGGUGACCGGCCACAAUGGGACUAAGAUACGGCCCAGACUCCUACGGGAGGCAGCAGUGGGGAAUAGUGCACAAUGGGCGGAAGCCUGAUGCAGCAACGCCGCGUGCGGGAUGACGGCCUUCGGGUUGUAAACCGCUUUCGCCUGUGACGAAGCGUGAGUGACGGUAAUGGGUAAAGAAGCACCGGCUAACUACGUG
rnacentral:rRNA from 1 species